UGGAGAUGGAGAGAUCCAGCAUUUAUCCUGCCUUUCAUUAUCGUUUAGGCCCAGGCGCUGCAGUUCAAGCAGGUCUCCCUCCUGGGCUGGAGUGAUGGCGGCAUAACCGCGCUCAUUGCUGCUGCAAAGUACCCAUCUUAUAUCCGCAAGAUGGUGAUCUGGGGGGCCAACGCCUACGUCACUGAGGAAGACAGCAGGAUUUACCAGGGUAUCCGAGAUGUUUCUAAAUGGAGUGAGAAGGCAAGGAAACCCCUGGAAGCCCUAUAUGGACAUGACUACUUUGCCAAAACCUGUGAGAAGUGGGUGGACGGCAUAAACCAGUUUAAACAUCUGCCAGAUGGUAACAUCUGCCGGCACUUGCUGCCCCUGAUCCAGUGCCCUACCCUCAUUGUGCACGGGGAGAAGGACCCAUUGGUCC
rnacentral:lncRNA from 1 species